UGCGGAAGGAUCAUUAAAGAGUAAGGGUGCUCAGCGCCCGACCUCCCAACCCUUUGUUGUUAAAACUACCUUGUUGCUUUGGCGGGACCGCUCGGUCUCGAGCCGCUGGGGAUUCGUCCCAGGCGAGCGCCCGCCAGAGUUAAACCAAACUCUUGUUAUUAAACCGGUCGUCUGAGUUAAAAUUUUGAAUAAAUCAAAACUUUCAACAACGGAUCUCUUGGUUCUCGCAUCGAUGAAGAACGCAGCGAAAUGCGAUAAGUAAUGUGAAUUGCAGAAUUCAGUGAAUCAUCGAAUCUUUGAACGCACAUUGCGCCCCUUGGUAUUCCGAGGGGCAUGCCUGUUCGAGCGUCAUUACACCACUCAAGCUAUGCUUGGUAUUGGGUGCCGUCCUUAGUUGGGCGCGCCUUAAAGACCUCGGCGAGGCCUCACCGGCUUUAGGCGUAGUAGAAUUUAUUCGAACGUCUGUCAAAGGAGAGGACUUCUGCCGACUGAAACCUUUUAUUUUUCUAGGUUGACCUCGGAUCAGGUAGGGAUACCCGCUGAACUUAAGCAUA
rnacentral:rRNA from 1 species